rnacentral:lncRNA from 1 species
AAAUUCUGAAACUGAAAUGUUCAUUCCUCCACAGGCAAACAUAGAGUUUUGCAGCAGAGCAGAGCAAUUCAACUGUCGAUCUUGAUAAGUUUCUCAAGUGCUCAUACAGGGUCAUCGCAUUCAACAAGUGCCGGCCUGACUGAUACCUGCUGCUGCUGCUUAACCAUCUUACAUACGAGGAGAAAUGCCUCUCAUACAGAUGAUGAAACUGCUUUUUAACUGUAUAUUACAUCUGCAUAAUCCAGAGAUGUGGCAUCCAUCCCGCACCUCACUAUAUGUCUGUAAAACCUCGCGUCAAGCAAGCAGGGCCAGAAAGUUCACACACCACAUGAGUUACUCAGCUACCAAAGCCACAAACGUGCAUCACUGCCAGGCUACGCGGCAGAAUUCUGCUUCCUGGCCCUCCUGAAUCCUGAUUCACGCAGCUAGCAUGGAGAUUGGUACGGCAAUCGAACUCAUGCGAAUCGAAUCGCUGGAAGAGACGUACGGACGGACCGGAUCGAUACCUUGUGUUGACAGAUGCAUCCCGUCGACGGACGGACAGAAUCGUACGUCCACUCCGGCCUCCCGUAGACGUACAGCACGCAUCCGACGGAGGAGCUCCGAGAGCUUCUUCUUGC